rnacentral:rRNA from 1 species
AUACGUAGGGGGCGAGCGUUGUCCGGAAUGAUUGGGCGUAAAGGGCGCGUAGGCGGCCCGGUAAGUCUGGAGUGAAAGUCCUGUUUUUAAGAUGGGAAUUGCUUUGGAUACUGUCGGGCUUGAGUGCAGGAGAGGUAAGUGGAAUUCCCAGUGUAGCGGUGAAAUGCGUAGAGAUUGGGAGGAACACCAGUGGCGAAGGCGACUUACUGGACUGUAACUGACGCUGAGGCGCGAAAGUGUGGGGAGCAAACAGAAUUAGAUACCCUGGUAGUCCACACUGUAAACGAUGAAUGCUAGGUGUAGGGGGUAUCGACCCCUUCUGUGCCGCAGUCAACACAAUAAGCAUUCCGCCUGGGGAGUACGGCCGCAAGGUUGAAACUCAAAUGAAUUGACGGGG